rnacentral:rRNA from 1 species
UACGAAGGGUGCAAGCGUUACUCGGAAUUACUGGGCGUAAAGCGUGCGUAGGUGGUUUGUUAAGUCUGUUGUGAAAGCCCCGGGCUCAACCUGGGAAUGGCAAUGGAUACUGGCAAGCUAGAGUGCGGUAGAGGGUAGUGGAAUUCCCGGUGUAGCGGUGAAAUGCGUAGAGAUCGGGAGGAACACCAGUGGCGAAGGCGGCUACCUGGACCAGCACUGACGCUGAGGAGCGAAAGCCAGGGGAGCAAACGGG